rnacentral:rRNA from 1 species
UACAGAGGUCUCAAGCGUUGUUCGGAUUCAUUGGGCGUAAAGGGUGCGUAGGCGGCGCGGUAAGUCGGGUGUGAAAUCUUGGAGCUUAACUCCGAAACUGCAUUCGAUACUGCCGUGCUUGAGGACUGGAGAGGAGACUGGAAUUUACGGUGUAGCGGUGAAAUGCGUAGAUAUCGUAAGGAAGACCAGUGGCGAAGGCGGGUCUCUGGACAGUUCCUGACGCUGAAGCACGAAGGUCAGGGGAGCAAACGGG